rnacentral:rRNA from 1 species
CCUACGGGAGGCAGCAGUGAGGAAUAUUGGUCAAUGGGCGCAAGCCUGAACCAGCCAAGUCGCGUGAGGGAAGACGGCCCUACGGGUUGUAAACCUCUUUUGCCGGGGAGCAAGCCUGAGCACGUAUGCCCAGGCGGAGAGUACCCGGAGAAAAAGCAUCGGCUAACUCCGUGCCAGCAGCCGCGGUAAUACGGAGGAUGCGAGCGUUAUCCGGAUUUAUUGGGUUUAAAGGGUGCGCAGGCGGGCUGUUAAGCCGGCGGAAAAAAUUCAGGGCUCAACCCUGUCGAGCCGUCGGAACUGGCAGCCUUGAGUGGGCGAGAAGUAUGCGGAAUGCGUGGUGUAGCGGUGAAAUGCAUAGAUAGCACACAGAACGCCGAUUGCGAAGGCAGCAUACCGGCGCCCGACUGACGCUGAGGCACGAAAGCGUGGGGAUCGAACAGGAUUAGAUACCCUUGUAGUC